rnacentral:rRNA from 1 species
GGACCCGACUGCUAUCGGAUUGAGAUUUAGCCAUGCGAGUCGAACGUCCCCCUGUUGCGGGGGGCGUGGCGUACGGCUCAGUAACACGUAGUCAACCUGCCCUGGAGGCACGGACAACCCCGGGAAACUGGGACUAAUCCGUGAUAGGUCACCUCAUCUGGAAGGAGAGAUGGCCCAAAGGGGCGCGCGGGCUUCUUCUGCGCGUUCGCUCCAGGAUGGGACUGCGACCGAUCAGGCUGUUGGCGGGGUAAAGGCCCACCAAACCUGUAACCGGUACGGGCCUUGAGAGAGGUGGCCCGGAGAUGGACACUGAGAAAAGGGUCCAGGUCCUACGGGGCGCAGCAGGCGCGAAACCUUCGCAAUGCGCGAAAGCGUGACGAGGUUAAUCCGAGUGAUUUCCGCUGAGGAGACCUUUUGUCGGCUGUAAAUAGGCCGGCGAAUAAGGGGAGGGCAAGCCUGGUGU